AUUGAACGCUGGCGGCAGGCCUAACACAUGCAAGUCGAACGGUAACAGGAAGAAGCUUGCUUCUUUGCUUUAGCGUGGCGGGCGGGUGUGUCAUGUCUGUGACACUGCUUUAUGGCUGGGGAUACUUACUGGAACCGGUAGCUAAUCCCGCAUAACGUCGCAACCCCAUGGAUCGGGAGCUUCGGGCCUCUUGCCAUCGGCUGUUCCCUGAUGGGAUUAGCUAGUAGGUGGGGUAACGGCUCACCUAGGCGACGAUCCCUAGCUGGUCUGAGAGGGUGACCGGCCACACUGGAACUGAGACACGGUCCAGACUCCUACGGGAGGCAGCAGUGGGGAAUAUUGCGCAAUGGGCGCAAGCCUGAUGGAGCCACGCCGCGUGUAUGAAGAAGGCCUUCGGAUUGUAAAGUACUUUCAGCGGGGAAGAAGAGAGGAAAGAGAAUACCUGUGCACAUUGACGUUACCCGCAGAAAAAGCACCGGCUAACUCCGUG
rnacentral:rRNA from 1 species